GACGAAUGCUGGCGGCGUGCUUAACACAUGCAAGUCGAACGGAAAGGCCCUGCUUGCAGGGUACUCGAGUGGCGAACGGGUGAGUAACACGUGGGUGAUCUGCCCUGCACUUCGGGAUAAGCCUGGGAAACUGGGUCUAAUACCGGAUAGGAGCCAUUUUUAGUGCGAUGGUUGGAAAGUUUUUUCGGUGUAGGAUGAGCUCGCGGCCUAUCAGCUUGUUGGUGGGGUAAUGGCCUACCAAGGCGGCGACGGGUAGCCGGCCUGAGAGGGUGGACGGCCACAUUGGGACUGAGAGACGGCCCAGACUCCUACGGGAGGCAGCAGUGGGGAAUAUUGCACAAUGGGCGCAAGCCUGAUGCAGCGACGCCGCGUGGGGGAUGACGGCCUUCGGGUUGUAAACUCCUUUCGCUAGGGACGAAGCUUUUGGGACGGUACCUAGAUAAGAAGCACCGGCUAACUACGU
rnacentral:rRNA from 1 species